rnacentral:lncRNA from 1 species
CCUGAACAGCUCUGUGAGCUCAGUACGAGUUCAUAUCCAUGUCACAGAGAAGAAGGACCAAGGCCCUCAGUAGGCCUCGCCAGGGAGAGUGAGUUCUCCGUGGUCACGUGGCCCAUAUGGGGCAGAGGCAGGCUCUUCUGAGGCUUAUUCCAGUCCGAUACUCUUGACCCCUGAGCACAUGGCCUCUUUUGCUGAAAUGUCUCACCAUCUUUGAUUAUCAAGCUAUGCAUUCUAGGCUCACGUCUACAGCUCCUAGAGAGAGUCUUCUCGAGGCACAAUGUCUGACUUCACCAGCUCCCACCACGUCUUUGCCUGCCCUGGACUGAGAAUAUUCUCUCUUCCUCAUGACCUGUGGGUCAUUUGCUGGUCCUCUGGAAGGAAGAAGGCACUCAGUGAGUUGGAUUCUCUCUUCCACACCACAGGAGCCUUGUGGCCUGGAGUUGGCGCGGCCUCCUCUGGAGCUGGUGAUGAGCUUGUAAAAGGGGCUGGACUUGGCCAAGGCAAGUUCAGAGACUCGUUCAGGAAAGACCCUGAGACCCAAGCCAGGUAGAAAGUCAAGCAGAAUUCUUAUCUCCCUCUUCAUUUAGUUAAUUCUUGCUCCCCCUUUAAGUUCGGGCCCCAACUCCCUCUGGAAGACUUCCAAGGGACAAGUUAGAUGCUGAGCCUUGGACUUCUGGAAUAUCCAGUGUGCCUCUCAGAACCUUGGUAAGAGCAGGGAUCGUGCAUCCGGAGUGUUGGGGCUGGAGUCCGCUGCAGAUGCACUGUGCACGUUUAUUGAAUAAGAAUUGGCUCACAUAAUUAUGGAGUUCAAGAAGUCCCACAAACUGCCAUCUGCAAGCUGGAGAACCAAGAAAGCAGGUGGUAUAAUUCAGUUUGAGUCCGAAGGCCUGAGAAUUGGGCUGCAGAUAGUCAUGUCUUGGUGUGAGCCUGAAGGCCCGAGAUCCAGAAGCGCCAAUGUCUGAGGGCAGAAGAAGAUGGAUGUCCCAACUCAGGCAGAGAGAAUUUCCCCUUCCUUUGCCUUUUGGUGCUAUUCAGACCCUCAACGGACUAGAUGAUACCCAACCCCACUGGUGAGGGCCAUCUUCUCUACUCAGUCUACCGUUCAAAUGUUGAUCAUUUCCAGAAACACCCUCACAGAUACACGAAGAAAUAGUGUUUAACCAGCUCUCUGGGCAUUUCUUAGCCCAGUCAAAUUGACACAUAAAAUUAACCAUCACCACAUAUAUUUUCUACCAGCCCAUACUCAUCUCUCUCUUUCUCUCCAAAGACUUUGCUAACUAGGUAGAUAUUACCCCAUUUUACAGAUGAGGAAGCUGAAGUUUGGAGAUAUUAAGUAGCUUGGUUGAGGUCAUUGAGCUUGCUAGUAAUUGUAGGAGCCCGCGUGUGAGGGCAGAUACGUGUGACUGCCAAGUCUGGGGCCUUCGCUUCUGACUCUGCCUCCAAUAUGGCUGGAUGAUCAGAACACCUCCCUUUCAUUAAGUCAAAAAGAGAAUCAUAAGUGCUUCUCACUGUAAAUCCUGUGCCAAGCAUAAGAAGACGCAUUUCAGUCGAAGAAAACCUAAUUAUAGAGAGGAGCUCACAGAUCACCACCCAGCCCUCAGGCUGCCAUGUAUAGCCAUGCAGAUUGACCCCUGUGCAACUCCAGGGGCCCCCAUUCUCAUGGACCAUGAUGGAAAUGGUGUCACCUGGAGCCAAGGCAGUGUCCCCUCAGUGCCUCCCAACUAGCGAACUGUUUCUGACUUAGCGUUUUGUUUGUCAUUAAGACUGCUCACCAAUAUUCCAGGCAUGUGAUAGGAUUGGAAAUCCCCAUCCCCUUAAAUUAGACGUGGCUGUGACUUCCUCUGGCCAAUGGUCUUUGAGAGGAGUUAUUGUGAGUCACUUCUAGGCAAAAGCCUUUACGAGCUAGUACAUGAUGGUAUUUGUUUCCUGGGACUGCCGUAACAAAGCACCAUGAACGAGGCGGCUUCAAAAAACAGAGAUGUAUUGUCUAGUUCUGGAGGCUAGAAAUCUGAAGUCCAGCUGUCGGCAGAGCCAUGCCCCCUCUGAGGGCUCUAGAGGAGGACGCUUUCUUCCCUUGUUCAGCUUCUGGUGGUUGUUGGCAAUCCUUGGCAUUCUUCGGCUUGUAGAGACAUUACUCCCCUCUCUGCUCUGUAGCCACAUGGCCUUCCCCUCUGUGUGUCUGUCUCUUCUGUGUCUGUGUGUCUGUAUCUUGUUUUCUUCUCAUGAGGACACCUGCCAUAUUAGAUUUAGGGUCCACCUAAUCCAGUAUGACUACAUCUUAACUAAUUACAUCUGCAACAACCUGUUUUCAAGUAAGGUAACAUUAGGAAGUACUUGGGGUUAGGACUCAACACAUCUUUUUGAAGGACACAAUUCAACCCAUAGCAGUGAUUUACCAUGAUUCCUUUCCUUUGUCACAGCAACAACGAGCUCCAUCAGCCUGUGUGCCUGAAUUAGGACAAUGUCAGGUAGACCCCCAAGUUGGACAUGUAGCAGGAACAUGGGAAAACCUUUGUUUUUCUGUAGGUGUAGCUCCCUGUGGCCCUGUCAUCAAGAUCUGGUCAGUGGGAUGUGAGAAGUAAAAUAUGACAUUUUAGGUUUUCUGGGUCACAUCCUUGAAAGGAAACUGCGUGUCCUUCUUUUCCUCUUCUGCUUCCCAUGGGUGGGGCCAGGUGCAUCCAAGCAGAUGAAGGCAAUACUGGAGGGGUGGCUGCAUGAGGGAGAGGAGGGUCCUGGUUCCGGAGGGACCUUGUGGAGCAAAGACCUCUUCCUGGUCCGGACCACCUGUCCACCCCUGUAGUGCCCAUCCACCCCUGGACCACCCGUCCACACCGGACUGCCCAUCCACCCCUGGAGUGCCCGUCCACGCCUGUAGUGCCCAUCCACCCCUGGACCACCCGUCCACCCCGGACUGCCUGUCCCCCGCUGGAGUGCCCGUCCACCCCUGGACUGCUACUGAGAGAAGAAUGAGCGCUUGUCUUGUUGGAGCACUUGUCUCCUCGUUUCAGCAGUCCGCAUUGUGCUGUAACCAACAUGCAUUCCAGGUGAAAACCGGAGAACUGACUUCACUUCAGCUAACCUCCUCCUCUCGAUUUCUUCACAAUGUUUGUAUUUCUAGUAUCAUUUUUAGUUUUUCUUAGGGUUACCUUUGUGACUUUAAGUAAAGACACCCUUACGCCGC